rnacentral:rRNA from 1 species
UACGUAGGGGGCUAGCGUUAUUCGGAAUUACUGGGCGUAAAGCGCACGUAGGCGGAGCGGAAAGUUGGGGGUGAAAGCCCAGGGCUCAACCCUGGAACUGCCUUCAAAAAUCCCGCUCUUGAGGUCGUGAGAGGUGAGUGGAAUUCCGAGUGUAGAGGUGAAAUUCGUAGAUAUUCGGAGGAACACCAGUGGCGAAGGCGGCUCACUGGCACGAUACUGACGCUGAGGUGCGAAAGCGUGGGGAGCAAACAGG